GCUGGGCAUGGUGGUGUGUACUUAUAGUCCAGCUAUUUGGGAGGCUGAGGCAGGAGGAUCCCUUGAGCCCAAAGAGUUCAAGGCCAGUCUGGGCAACACUGUGAGAUACUAUCUCAA
rnacentral:sRNA from 1 species